rnacentral:rRNA from 1 species
UACGAAGGGAGCUAGCGUUGUUCGGAAUCACUGGGCGUAAAGCGCACGUAGGCGGACUUGUCAGUCAGGGGUGAAAUCCCGGGGCUCAACCUCGGAACUGCCUCUGAUACAGCAAGUCUUGAGUCCGGAAGAGGUGGGUGGAAUUCCUAGUGUAGAGGUGAAAUUCGUAGAUAUUAGGAAGAACACCAGUGGCGAAGGCGGCUCACUGGUCCGGUACUGACGCUGAGGCGCGAAAGCGUGGGGAGCAAACAGGG